rnacentral:tRNA from 1 species
UUGAUUGAAACCAAAAUAGAGGUAAAUCACUGUUAAUGAUUAAAUUGAGAAUACUCUCCAAUUAAG